AGAGUUUGAUCAUGGCUCAGGAUGAACGCUAGCGGUGCGCCUAACACAUGCAAGUCGAGCGGGUUUAUUUGUGACACAGAGUAGAGAUUUAUUUCUACAUUCUGUGUCACAUGUAAUCUAGCGGCAAACGGGUGCGUAACACGUUAAUAUCUCCCCCGAAGUCAGGGAUAGCCUCGAGAAAUCGAGAGUAAUACCGGAUGGUCCCGUAAGGGUAAAGGAGCAAUUCGCUUCGGGAAGAGUCUGCGGCCUAUCAGCUAGUUGGCGGGGUAAAAGCCCACCAAGGCGAUGACGGGUAGCUGGUCUGAGAGGACGACCAGCCACAAUGGAACUGAGACACGGUCCAUACUCCUACGGGAGGCAGCAGUGAGGAAUCUUCCACAAUGGACGAAAGUCUGAUGGAGCGACACCGCGUGAAGGAUGAAGCCUUUGUUGGUGUAAACUUCUUUUCUCUCCGAAGAUAAUGACGGUAGGAGAUG
rnacentral:rRNA from 1 species